rnacentral:rRNA from 1 species
AUUGAACGCUGGCGGCAGGCCUAACACAUGCAAGUCGAACGGUAACAGGAAGCAGCUUGCUGCUUUGCUGACGAGUGGCGGACGGGUGAGUAAUGUCUGGGAAACUGCCCGAUGGAGGGGGAUAACUACUGGAAACGGUAGCUAAUACCGCAUAACGUCGCAAGACCAAGAGGGGGACCUUAGGGCCUCUUGCCAUCCGAUGUUCCCAGAUGGGAUUAGCUAGUAGGUGGGGUAACGGCUCACCUAGGCGACGAUCCCUAGCUGGUCUGAGAGGAUGACCAGCCACACUGGAACUGAGACACGGUCCAGACUCCUACGGGAGGCAGCAGUGGGGAAUAUUGCACAAUGGGCGCAAGCCUGAUGCAGCCAUGCCGCGUGUAUGAAGAAGGCCUUCGGGUUGUAAAGUACUUUCAGCGGGGAGGAAGGGAGUAAAGUUAAUACCUUUGCUCAUUGACGUUACCCGCAGAAGAAGCACCGGCUAACUCCGUG